rnacentral:rRNA from 1 species
AUUGAACGCUGGCGGCAGGCUUAACACAUGCAAGUCGAACGCGUGGCGGACGGGUGAGUAAUGCUUGGGAAUCUAUCUUAUGGAGGGGGAUAACCUCGGGAAACUAUCUCUUAUCCCGCGUACCCUAGGAUGCGCCCAAGUGGGAUUAGGUAGUUGGUGAGGUAAAGGCUCACCAAGCCGACGAUCUCUAGCUGGUCUGAGAGGAUGACCAGCCACACUGGGACUGAGACACGGCCCAGACUCCUACGGGAGGCAGCAGUGGGGAAUAUUGCGCAAUGGGGGCAACCUGACGCAGCCAUGCCGCGUGAAUGAAGAAGGCCUUCGGGUUGUAAAGUUCUUUCGGUAGCGAGGCGUUAACUACAGAAGAAGCACCGGCUAACUCCGUGCCAGCAGCCGCGGUAAUUC